rnacentral:rRNA from 1 species
GAUGAACGCUGGCGGCUUGCUUAACACAUGCAAGUCGAACGAAGCACCUUGGAAUGCGUCUUCAGACAAAUGUAUUGGUGACUUAUUGGCGGACGGGUGAGUAACGUGUGGGUAACCUUCCUCACACAGGGGGAUAACAGCUAGAAAUGACUGCUAAAACCGCAUAACAGGGCGAGACCGCAUGAACUUGCCAUCGACUAUUUCUAGGGUUGAGGUGGGCCCGCGGCUGAUUAGCUAGUUGGUGAGGUAAUGGCCCACCAAAGCGACGAUCAGUAGUCGGCUUAAGAGAGUGAACGGCCACAUUGGGACUGAGACACGGCCCAAACACCUACGGGAGGCAGCAGUGGGGGAUGUUGGAAGAUGGGGGAAACCCUGAUCCAGCGACGCCGCGUGAGUGAAGAAGUAUUUCGGUAUGUAAGGCUCUAUCAGCAGGGAAGAAAAAUAACCAAAAUGACUGUGCCUGACUAAGAAGCCCCGGCUAACUACGUGCCAGCCGCCGCGGUAAAAC